UGUGAUGCAGGUGUGACUUGAUUCUUCAA
rnacentral:piRNA from 1 species